UUUUAGCCCCGGUAGGAAUGAAAAUCCUUUUGCAUCGAUUUUUUUCGAGGCAAAAGAUUGCAAUGGAUGACGGGACUUUGA
rfam:Flavobacterium succinicans strain DD5b FLB_contig000035, whole genome shotgun sequence.